UCUCUUCAUCCUUAGCAACAAACACUCUCAACCUAAAAAAAUUACAACACCAUUCAUAUUCAUCUCUUCUUCCUUAGCACAAAAAAUUAAAAACAUCACAACUUUCUCCCAUCAUCAAUCUAGGGAUAAAACUCAUACCUAGAAAAUCAUCACACACCAACACAUUUCACUUCUCUCUUGUCUCACAUCUAUCCCAAAUCAAAACAAACCAAAAUUUGAAAUUUGAAUUUGAAUCCGAAUAUGAACCAAAAUCUAAGCAGUGAGAACUUUAGCCCUAGUGCACUUGAUCAACCUACAAUAGCAACUGAAAAUAUGGCAGCUCGAGAUGUGUUAAUUGAUUAAAACUAGCUAAGGUACAAGACAUGCUAAAUCUUAGCACAUGAAUACAACGUCUAAAUACAUGACUACAUGAACACUCAAACAACAAUAGGAAAUAAUCGUCCGUAUUCUAGAAUUAAAAAAAAAAAAUGGUCCUUAUUCAAAAAUUCGGAUGUAUAGUAAAGGAGUUUUAGGGGGUGCACAAAACGUGUGAGAGGGUGGGAAAACAAUUUCAUUUUAUGAUGACAUCCUUAGUAUUGACCUUUUCUUGUCAUAGUUGUCGGGCUUCAAAAUGAACAUUUUUUUAGUAAACAAUGACAAUGUAUUGAUGUUGAGCAGUUGUGAUUAGGGG
rnacentral:lncRNA from 1 species